UCAAUGGGUAACUCUUCUUUGGAAUCCGAACCGCCGAUUCUACUAUUGUUGCUCAGAAAAAUAUUGUUCACGAUACACACGCAAUAAAGAGAUAGGAGGGAGACUGUGUGAGAGGUGAAAGCAAAGCAGGGAGGGAUGGUGAAUGAUUCACAGAGAGAGCAGGGGCAUAUUCAUUACGGAAACCGUUUAACGUUUAAGAACUAAAUGGAAGAACACAGUUCAAAAAUGAGAGUUUCUAUUGGGAUAAAUUCAGGUACUAAACAGACUAUGCCCUUGGAAGGGAGAGGGCUAAUACUCGGUUCCAGGAACCUGAAGACAUGUACGUGACAUAUGGCAUUGGUUCUGGGUCAGAACGAGAAAUGUUUUUAAUUUGAGCUGAUCACUGUUUGUUUUGUAUUGGAAUAUGAAGGUGAACUUUGCUCUAUGUGAAGGAGGUGAACUUCGCGACCAGAGAUUCUCUGCACUGUGUUUAUAAAUGCAGAAAGUACAAGAGCUGGAAAAUGUGGAAAGUGGAUUAAUAGUUUGUAAUGGGACCUGGCGAGCUACCAGGGCUGUGUAUUUACAUCCAACGGCUACACAAGGGUGGUAUUGGGAUCUGAAAAGAAACGUGUGGAUGACCAAGUCGUAACACUACAAUUAGACCUACCUGAAUGAAAAUAGAAAUACAGUAUGUCUUGAUAAAUAACACAAAUCAAUCUAUACUGAUUGUUCUCAUGUAUAUUUGUGUGUGUUUGUGUCUUAAGUUUUGUUUUAUGAACGUUAAUAAAUACACAGACGACCUUG